UCCUAAAAUCAAUCAUGGGUUUCUCUCUGCUGAUCAGCAGCUCAUUAAACGCCGCCUCAUUAAGGGUGACCAAGGGCAGGCUGGGCCUCCAGGACCUCCAGGCCCUCCCGGCCCAAGAGGGCCUCCUGGGGACACAGGGAAAGAUGGCCCUCGUGGAAUGCCAGGAGUGCCUGGUGAAUCAGGGAAACCAGGAGAACAAGGCUUGAU